rnacentral:rRNA from 1 species
UCCGUAGGUGGAUGAUUAAGUCAGAGGUGAAAGUUUGCGGCUCAACCGUAAAAUUGCCUUUGAUACUGGUCAUCUUGAAUUAUUGUGAAGUAGUUAGAAUAUGUAGUGUAGCGGUGAAAUGCAUAGAUAUUACAUAGAAUACCAAUUGCGAAGGCAGAUUACUAACAAUCAAUUGACACUGAUGGACGAAAGCGUAGGUAGCGAACAGGAUUAGAUACCCUGGUAGUCC